UAUCCAUAAUAAUAUCCACAAAAGUCAUAAAUCUGUAGUGCUUGUUCUAAUACACAUUAAAAGUAGUACAUAGCUAUAAACAUUUCUGAAAAAUAUAUCAAGUGUUACAAAAUAUCACCUUCAUGCAUUCUAUUCAUGGCAUGAAGAAAUGAUUAAAAUAAAAUUUUAGUUUGACAAUCUAUCCAUAUUAACAAAUAAGUGAAAAUAUUAAGCUCAGUAAGAUCUUUUUGAAGGUCA
rnacentral:lncRNA from 1 species